rnacentral:rRNA from 1 species
UACGUAGGCAGCAAGCGUUGUUCGGAAUUACUGGGCGUAAAGAGUGUGUAGGCGGUGUUCUAAGUUUGUCGUGAAAUCUCCCGGCUUAACUGGGAGGGUGCGGCGAAAACUGGAAUGCUAGAGGAUGGGAGAGGUAAGCGGAAUUCCUGGUGUAGCGGUGAAAUGCGUAGAUAUCGUAAGGAAGACCAGUGGCGAAGGCGGGUCUCUGGACAGUUCCUGACGCUGAGGCACGAAGGCCAGGGGAGCAAACGGG